rnacentral:lncRNA from 1 species
CACUGCACCCGGCCCCAGCAGGUAUUUUUAAAGAAAUUGACAUACUGCUUCUAAGACUUAUCUGGAAAUGCAAACAAUCUAGAAUAGCUAGAAAAUUUUAGAAAAGAAGAGCCAAGUUGGAAAAUGUAUUCCUCCUGACUUUAGUAUUUACUAUAAAGCCACAGUAAUCAAAACAAUGCGGUUCUUGGUAAGGAGAGACAAUAGAUCAAUGGAAUAGAAUAGAGUCCAGAAAUAAACUCAUGCAUAGAUGGUCAACUGAUUUUUGGCCAAAACACCAAUUCAAUUCAGUGUAGAAAAUAAAAUUUGUUAGCAGGUUCUGCUAGAACAACUGAAUACUGUAUUGGAAAAAAAAUGACCCUCAAUCUCUACCUUAUGCUAUACAGGCAAAAAUUAAUUCAAGAUGGAUCAUAACGUAAACAUGAAAUUCAGAACCAUAAACACUCUAGAAGAUGGAAGAUAUCUUCCUGACCUUGGGGUGAAAAACCUGAGGCAUGAUGACUUAUUCCAGUUGGCACAGCUAGCAAAUGGGUCAGACAGCACUCCAACCACCACACUGCCCUCUGGUCCGUCCCUGCUACCUCUGGCUAUUUUAGGAGGGCCACAUGGUGCCCCAGAAAGAGCACCCAAGCCAGAACCUCUCUGAGAUGUAGGGCCUGGUGUUCCAGCCACACACUUUCUGUCUGUGUAACUCGGGGAGCUCUCUCUGGGAAACUGCCCCUUGCUUCACCCACUCCUGGCCUCCUGCUGUGCCAUUUCCAGGAAAGAAGCUACCAUGACCUCCUUCAUUGUUCAAGAACCCCAAGUUCUUGGGUCCAGCCUAAACCGUUCCUGGGACUGGAUGAAAAAUAUGUCUGUGGGCUCUGUUUUCCAUGACUGUAGGUAUGACUGGCCCUCUCCUUUCAGUGAAGAAGCCCUUUGUUGACCAGAGAGAAAGGGGCUGCAGUGGCCAACCCUUCCCUUCGGACUCAGCACUUCCUUGCUUAGUCUGAAAGGUCUUCAGUGCUUUGUCCCCUUUCCUUGAAGUUAGAAAGCAGCACAGAGUCCUGCAUGUCCACUUUCCUCCUCUCCCUCUGCUGGUGGCGACCCUCAGCAGGUAGGCAGCCCUGGGCAGCUCUGCCUCACUCCAGUUCCUCUAGCUCAUCAACCGAUCUCCUCGGUAGGAGUCAUUCACUGCGCUCCCGGUGAUUCACUCACAGGGGCUCAUUAACCUGUUUACCUCCCUGCCACUCUCCUGAGUAGGAGUGGCCCUGGAUCCCUCCCUCCUGCACGCCUGACAAAUUGUCCUCCAAUGACUGCUGCUCUGCCCGCUGGGCUCCCACCAGCUGCCCCCGACCCUGGGAGGUCUUUGCCUGAUCCCUACUUAAAGUGUAAUGGGUAAAAGAGCUUUGAAAUCAAACACACUAGGUUUGUGACUCAGCUGCUAACCUGAGAUGCCCUGGCUUUCC